AAAACACUGCGUAAAUAAUUUUUACAGCGUAAAAGCAAAAUAAAUUCAUAUAUAUUGUAAUAUAGUAAACCAGAGUAUUUAAUUUAAUUUACAGUAACAAGUGGGCCCUCGAAUAACCAAAAGUAAGAAAGACUGUGAACCUACAGUUUGGAAGAUGCAAAUCCAAUGCUAGUCCUCGACAAAAUGUGCUAUCUAUAGACUAUCCUGAAC
rnacentral:lncRNA from 1 species